AUGCUGAGAGGAGCCCAGCAGCAGCCAGCCAGCCUCCCACUCCGCCUGCGCUUUGAAAAGCAGCUGAAUGGGAUGCAGAAGGACGGAGCUGGCAGGGAGCCGAGCAGUGAGUGGGACCAAGAGCCCCACACACACCCCAGGCACGUCCCCGGUGGCUCAGGCAGCCGCGAUCCCGCAGCCACGGGUGCUGGGGGUGGCAGCGCCCAGCCCCGAGCACCCGCCCAAGCCCCGAGCGCGGCCGGUUCCCAGGGAACGUUACCAGGAACCCGCGUGUUUGGUUGCAAACAGAGCGGGAGCCGGAGCCAGGCUCUGUGUUUGUGCCUGCGGUUGCUCAGGCAACUCGGGGCCAGCCAGGAAUCGAGCCCCGGGGCCAGCCAAGCCACCCGGCAGCAGCAGGCGGGCAGGCGGACGGACAGAUGGACAGACGGGCUGUCGCCGAACACAACCAGAGCCGAGGCGUCAGUGCGGAGGGGGCUUUAUUGCAGAGCCGGGUCACAGCGCGGGGCUGCAGCACCCCUUGGUUCAGGCUUCUUGAAGGCAGUGGGAGCCCACGUGGGUGAAAAUCUGGGGACUUGGGGACCUUUGGUUCUGGCUGCGGAGCACGGAGCAGGGCGCGGGCCAGGUCCCCUGGGCCAGCCCCAUCCCAGGAGCAGCCCAGCGGCUCCGGGCCAUGAGCACCCCUGUGGGGGUGAAGGAAAGCAAAGGCUGUGGUGUCAGCGGGGGGGAAGGCAGGUCCCCAGCAGGGCUGCCGGGUUGGGGACAGGCUGCGGUCCCCGCUGGGACUGGCAGGGAGGGUGCCCCGGGGCCGGGGCUGAGGUAGGGAAGGUGUCGGUGCCAGCGGGGCACCCCGAGGAGCAGCGCAGCAGCAGGGGCAGGGGGGUCACAGCACAAGGGACGGACGUGGCGCUGGGGCAGAGCCCGGCCACUUCCCAAUCGCAUCCGACAUCCCGCCAGCCUGGGGCCGGCCCCAGCGCAGCCUCCCGGGCCCCACGGCACGCGGGAACGUCCCGAGGCUGA
rnacentral:lncRNA from 1 species